rnacentral:rRNA from 1 species
GAUGAACGCUGGCGGCGUGCCUAAUACAUGCAAGUCGAGCGAAUGGAUUAAGAGCUUGCUCUUAUGAAGUUAGCGGCGGACGGGUGAGUAACACGAGGGUAACCUGCCCAUAAGACUGGGAUAACUCCGGGAAACCGGGGCUAAUACCGGAUAACAUUUUGAACCGCAUGGUUCGAAAUUGAAAGGCGGCUUCGGCUGUCACUUAUGGAUGGACCCGCGUCGCAUUAGCUAGUUGGUGAGGUAACGGCUCACCAAGGCAACGAUGCGUAGCCGACCGGAGAGGGUGUUCGGCCACACUGGGACUGAGACACGGCACUGACUCCUACGGGAGGCAGCAGUAGGGAAUCUUCCGCAAUGGACGAAAGUCUGACGGAGCAACGCCGCGUGAGUGAUGAAGGCUUUCGGGUCGUAAAACUCUGUUGUUAGGGAAGAACAAGUGCUAGUUGAAUAAGCUGGCACCUUGACGGUACCUAACCAGAAAGCCACGGCUAACUACGUGCCAGCAGCCGCAGUAA